rnacentral:rRNA from 1 species
AUUGAACGCUGGCGGAAUGCUUUACACAUGCAAGUCGAGCGGCAGCGCGGGGCAACCUGGUGGCGAGCGGCGAACGGGUGAGUAAUACAUCGGAACGUGCCCAGACGUGGGGGAUAACUACUCGAAAGAGUGGCUAAUACCGCAUACGAUCUAAGGAUGAAAGCGGGGGAUCGCAAGACCUCGCGCGUUUGGAGCGGCCGAUGGCAGACUAGGUAGUUGGUGGGGUAAAGGCUUACCAAGCCCGCGAUCUGUAGCUGGUCUGAGAGGAUGAUCAGCCACACUGGGACUGAGACACGGCCCAGACUCCUACGGGAGGCAGCAGUGGGGAAUUUUGGACAAUGGGCGAAAGCCUGAUCCAGCCAUUCCGCGUGCAGGAUGAAGGCCCUCGGGUUGUAAAGGACUUUUGUCAGGGAGCAAAACUUACUGGUUAAUACCCGGUGAGGCUGAGAGUACCUGAAGAAUAAGCACCGGCUAACUACGUGCCAGCAGCCGCGGUAAU